GGUUUAAUUCGAUGCAACGCGAAGAACCUUACCAGGUCUUGACAUCCCACGAAUUCAUCUGAAAGGAUGGAGUGCCUUCGGGAGCGUGGAGACAGGUGGUGCAUGGUUGUCGUCAGCUCGUGUCGUGAGAUGUUGGGUUAAGUCCCGCAACGAGCGCAACCCUUGCUAUUAGUUGCUAACAGGCAGAGCUGAGCACUCUAAUGGGACUGCCGGUGACAAGCCGGAGGAAGGUGGGGAUGACGUCAAAUCAUCAUGCCCUUUAUGACCUGGGCUACACACGUGCUACAAUGGAUGGUACAGAGAGCAGCGAGGCAGCGAUGUGGAGCGAAUCUCAAAAAGCCAUUCUCAGUUCGGAUUGGAGUCUGCAACUCGACUCCAUGAAGUCGGAAUCGCUAGUAAUCGCGAAUCAGCAUGUCGCGGUGAAUGCGUUCCCGGGCCUU
rnacentral:rRNA from 1 species